rnacentral:rRNA from 1 species
UACGUAGGGACCGAGCGUUGUCCGGAUUCAUUGGGCGUAAAGAGCUCGUAGGCGGCUGCUCAAGUCGAAUGUGAAACCUCGAGGCUUAACCUCGAGCCUGCAUUCGAUACUGGGCGGCUAGAGUCUGGUAGGGGGAUCUGGAAUUCCUGGUGUAGCGGUGGAAUGCGCAGAUAUCAGGAGGAACACCGGUGGCGAAGGCGGGUCUCUGGGCCGAUAUUGACGCUGAGGAGCGAAAGCGUGGGGAGCGAACAGG